CCUACGGGUGACAGCAGUGGGGAAUAUUGCACAAUGGGGGGAACCCUGAUGCAGCGACGCCGCGUGAGUGAAGAAGUAUUUCGGUAUGUAAAGCUCUGUCAGCAGGGAAGAAGAAAGACGUUACUUGACCAAGAAGCCCCGGCUAACGACGUCCCAGCAGCCGCGGUAAUACGUAGGGGGCAAGCGUUAUCCGGAUUUACUGGGUGUAAAGGGAGCGUAGACGGCAGGGCAAGUCUGUGGUGAAAGGCAGGGGCCCAACCCCUGGACUGCUUUGGAAACUGUCCGGCUGGAGUGCAGGAGAGGUAGGUGGAAUUCCUGGUGUAGCGGUGAAAUGCGUAGAUAUUAGGAGGAACACCAAUGGCGAAGGCGGCUUACUGGACUAUAACUGACGUUGAGGCACGAAAGCGUGGGGAGCAAACAGGAUUAGAUACCCCUGUAGUC
rnacentral:rRNA from 1 species